GGACCAGCGUUCGGUAAAUCUUCAGUCUCGUCGGGUUGCCCAGAGCUUCUAAGCGGGCUGCGGCGUCUUCAAUUUUCAUGACACCAACGAUGCUCCGUCCGCCGAGCGAUGUCAACCGUGCUUCUAGNNNNUCGAAAUAAUCUAGGCAAACCCAAGUCUCGAUUGACAGGACUCCAAUAGAUCCAUUAAUCUGGAUAUAUGAAAAAUUUGGAAGCAAUCGAUGCGCUUGCCGCGCUCGCCCAAG
rnacentral:misc_RNA from 1 species